rnacentral:rRNA from 1 species
UACGAAGGGGCUAGCGUUGCUCGGAAUGACUGGGCGUAAAGGGCGCGUAGGCGGUUUGUACAGUCAGGUGUGAAAUUCCCGGGCUCAACCUGGGGGCGGCACUUGAGACGUAGGAACUGGAGUGAGGAAGAGGGUCGUGGAAUUCCCAGUGUAGAGGUGAAAUUCGUAGAUAUUGGGAAGAACACCGGUGGCGAAGGCGGCGACCUGGUCCUUUUACUGACGGCUGAGGCGCGAAAGCGUGGGGAGCAAACAGG